GAAAAUAUCCUUUAGAUAACGUGGGCUGGAUUUUUAGGAGUAGAAGGUGAAAUAAUGACGAAUAUUACUUGCACUUUCAGAAUAAUAUUAUACCGAGAAGCCACGAGCGGCACACGUUUUAUACAUCCCCUUCACCUAUAAGACACCACCAUUUUAUUUGUUUUUUUUGGUAAAAAUGUUAAGAACCAUUUUAUUUGUUUCGUUCUUUUAAAGUAACAGAAAAGCUCUCUUCGGGUCAAUGUUUUGGAUUUUUAAGAAUUAUACAAGUCCAUGACUUAACAUAAUCUGAUUUGAUUAUUUGCUACUGGGCAACACUGCUGGGACAAUGUUUUCUAAAUAUCCCAUUUUAUGCGAUUUUCAAUCAAUGGACUACAACAUAACCAAAUUGACGUCCCCGUGAUACUAGGUGCUUUUGGAUAAGAAUGAAAACAUUAUGCACAUUGAAACUUGAAUACCUUUACUUGUUUUGUUCCCUUCUAUUAUAUAGAGUAGACGACAUGGUUACUAUAAUAACAUUUACACACCAUUUUUCAACCUCAUUCUAAUUCUACGCAUUAUAUGUAUCCUAACCUAAAGAAUUAGAGAGGGGGGGGGGGGGGGGGGGGGGGGGGGGGGAAGUAAGAUAAGACCCGAUACUAUUCUUUGUCUUCUCUCUAGGUUUCCUCCGGUGAGAUUAGUAUUUCCGGCCGACGGGGUGGGCUUCCACAGUCACCGUCGGUCGGUUUGUGAGGGGGGGGGUCUGUUUUCUUCCGUGCAUGUCUUCUGAGAGGGGAGGGUCCGUUUUGUCUUCUUUCUGGUUCGGUUUAUAUGACAAGAUUUUGAUUCCGGGAUGUGGAGGCUUCUAGAGAGGGGAGGGUCCGUUUUGUCGCCGGCUUAUGACUCUAGGGUUAUAGGCUUUUAGAGCUCUGCGUUGCCGGCUUUAAACCCGUCGUCUGAUUGGGUUUUGGUUUCGAUUUUGACUCGUGGGGUGUGAUGGGGUGUUGCUCUUGUCUUCAGUUUGAUGGCUCGGUCCGAUUGGAUGCGAUCUCGAUAGUCGAUGAAGCUCUCCGAUGGGUAUGCUAUGGUGAUGAAGGCGGAGGUUGUGAUUUCGGGAUUAAUUUCUGUAUGGGUGGUUUGGUGAUCCGGAUGAGAUCUCGGUUUGGUCGAGGGAUUCUCUCCGUGGGAAGAAUCUCCGGCGUUGGAGGUAUGUGAAGCAGCGACAGUCAGUUUCCGGCGUAAUCUCGCGACGGUGAAGGUGAAAGAGUUCGGUGACGCGUGUUAUCCUUCGUUGUUGAGGGAUUAACACGUGUUCUUAACACGUUUACAAAAUUUGACGCAUAUUUUGUGGGUUUCUUUUUGGGUGGGUUUAAGUUUAGUGGACUUUAGGUCCAGUUGUUUGUAUGUCUUGUAUGGGUCUCUUUCGGUUGGGCCUUCGGGCUUUGUUAUUUUGUAUGGUUUGUGGGUUUCGGUUUUUAACAAAAUUAGAUGGCAAAAAAAAGCAUCCUAACCUAUUAUCUUCCAAUAAAAAAGAUCGAAACCCAUUUAUUUUUAAUAGUUCAGUACCUAAACCGAUAUCAAACUAGUUGGAAUCAAACUAUAAUUUAAACCCAACAAAUCCAACUCAUCCUCCUAAUAAAGCUUUAGUAAAGUGAAACUAAUUCCUAAAUCGAUUUUUCCUUACAAACUCUAAAAUCGAAAAAUCCGCACCUUUGUGCGAGAUGUGAUUUUUCCUUACUAUUGCUCCUGUAAACCGACUGUAAACGGCUCUGUGUUGAUUUUAGUUUGUACCUUAAACAUUAGGCGGAUUUGGGUUUCGAUUAUUUAAACUAGGAAUAAAUAUGCUUGAUUAGUUUCACACAUAUGUGCAAUCAGAACAAAAUUAAAAGAUAAUGUGUAUUUGUUAUUAUAUAUGAUACUUUCGGUGUUGAGAAGGCUACCCUAUUAUAUAUUAUAAUCAUUAUUUAAUUGUUUUUCUCAUUUAAUAAUAAAACUAGUCUAGUACCGCGCUAACGCGAAUUAUGUAUAAUUUUUAUUUGAUUUACAAAUUAAAAUUAAACUAAUAGUGAUAAAUUUUGAGAUGAUAAUGUUGUGUUAAUUUUGGUUUUUUUUGUGAUGCUUAUUUGAAUCUGGAUCAAAAUAUUUUGGUUCUUUUAAGGAGAUGCAUGAUUGUAUCAAUUUAUUUGGUUUCUUUAUUUCUUAUAAUGUAAAUAUUAUGUUUAAUUAUUUUAUAUAACCUUUUUUACAUGGGAACUUUACGUCACCAAUUAUGAAAUCAUAAUAAAUAUAAAUGUAUUAUAACAUUGUAUAAAAAUAGUUGAAUGAAUUACGGUUGUUAGUCAGUUAUAACCUCUGAAUAAUCAAUAUAAACUAAUAUCUUACAUAAUGGGAAAUCAUUUAAAACCAAAUUAUUAUUAUUAUUAUUAUUAUUAUUUUUUUGAUCAACUAUUAUUAUUAUAUAUAUAUCUUAUAUAUUAAAACAGAAGUCACAACCUUAAUUCAUGUGUGAUUUUUUAAAGAAUGGACUUAGUGGACCAUCACUAGAAAUCAGUUAUCAUUUAUUCAUUUAUUACUAUUAAUAUGGCUUAUUAUAUCAUUCCCUAAAAUUCUGUUACACGCCUACAAUUUCGGUUUGGUUUACAAACCAAUAUUUGCUUCCUUAAUUAUUGUAAUGGUAAAUUAUUAUCAAACCAAUGCAUCAACGUUUUUGCUCAACCGUAAAUAUAAAUCAUUAACAAACAGUCUUUAGACUAAAACAUUAACGUAUAAUUCUAGAAUUGUAAAUGUGAGUUGUUUGUUAUUUAAAAAUGAAUUAAAACCUCUGUUAUAUUUACUUACACGUUAUAUAAUAUAUGAUCAAGUGAUGAUCCACCUCUUACACAUCCCCUUGAAGCAUUUCACUUGUAAAGAAACAUUAAACCGACAGUUUUAAUUUUCAACUUCUUACACAUUAUAUACAUAGAUGAUCAUAUAUUCAUCACACUGAUCCGGUAAAUAAAACAAAAUACUUAUUAUACUAAAUAUUUAUAUAAAAAUAAAUGAAAACAAAAACCUUGAGCGGAUCGAGAUGUAGAUCUUUCUCUGACUAUCGUCAUUUCACACUGAUCCGGUAAAUAAAACAAAUAUUUAUAUGUGUAAUAUUUUUGAAUAUGACAAUAAAACAAUAUUUUACUAAUCUAUAUAUAUAUGGUUAUGAUUUUAAUAAUAAAAUAAUAAUUUGAAAAUAUAUAUAUAGAAGAAGAUAUAAAUGCAUGUAAAAUUUUGAAACAAUUUAUUCAAUAAAAAAUAUACCGUAUAUUUAUCAUGUUUUAAAAAUUGAUAGACAUAUAUAUAUUAUAAUAUAUACCAAUUUAGAAUUGAAAACAAAAUGUUUAUAUAAAAAUAAAUGAAAACACCGCGCGGAUCGAGAUCUAGUACUAUACUAAAAGCCAAAUAUGGAGAGAUUCUAGCAUGUCCACGUCACUUAUUAAAUUCCUCAAAUCACAACAUUUCAUUAAAACAUGUCAGAGGGUUUGAGUUUAUUGAGUUACGUUUGGGCAUGAAACCAAAUGGGAAAUCCCCUAUCACCUCCGAGGAUCUCAGCAGCCGCUACUUCCUAAUCAAAUCACGAACCUGAAAAAAUCGAGAAAAAUUUCUAAUUUUCCCUUUUCUUUCCUUAAUCACGCGAAACCCAGAACAAUCUAACCAAAAAGACUCGACCUUUCGACGAUUGCAGGUCUGUAACAAUCGCAAAUGAAACGCGAUGAAGAGAAUGAGAUAACGAGAACAAGAUGAAAGCUUUACAUUCUCAACCAAUUGAUUAUAAGAAUUAAGGUCAACAGAGGCCCAGAUGAGGAAAUGCGAUUACAACGAUGAGGACGAUGAUGAUGAUGAUGAUGAUGAUAACAACAACAUUCAAAGUUCUUCGGACCUAUUUUGUUUCGUUGUUCUUUGUUGACUUGAGAACAAAAAAAAUCUGUUUUUUUUUUUGGGUGUGAUCCAGUUAUAAUUCUUUGUCUUCACCCGAGAACCUCCUCCUAGACGAGAAGCUCGACUUGAAGAUAUCCGAUUUUGGACUCUGCGGCACGCCUGCCUACGUGGCGCCCGAGGUGCUCGCCAAGACAGGAUAUGAUGGUGCCAAAAUCGACGUGUGGUCGUGUGGAGUGAUACUGUUCGUGCUCAACGCGGGGUGUUUAUUCAAACAGCAUGCCUCAAGCAUUGAUAUGUGUUGUUGCCCAAGACUGCAGGCCCCGCGGUGGCACACAAUUCAGAAUCUCCUUCUAAAAAUGCAGUAACGAGUCUACACCGAGCCAGACGUGUGCAAAUUCGGGCCUUCCAGAGAACCGGCAUAUUUACUACACGAAACACUCAACCCCUAGACUUAGUCACAUGCCCUAAGUGUGGUGGUUGCUAUGGAAAGGGGAGUGACCAGUUACGGAUUUUUAAGAAGCUACAGAUAGAAGGUUCAGCACUGUCUAAAGAAAGCCAAUAGUUCACAAGAAAAUAAAACAGAUCGUGAGUAAGGAUGAGAUAAGAUCAUGAAAUAUUUUAUAAGUUGCAAUAUUUUUGUUCAGAUUUUCCACCUUUUCUUAUCAUUUUGUCAUAUUACUUCUCUUCUUUCUCUUUGCUUUGACAUUAACUAAGUGUUGCUUCCUUUGCAGGCUUUCUUCUUCACUUAAUAGUCUUUCUCUUUCUUUUGCUUUGAUAUAUGUUACGAGAACUACAAAUAUCCUUCAUCAAAACUGAUGACACAUAAUCUUUUGAGGAAAAGAACAUCGUUAGAAAGGUCUGUUUCGAUGUAACAGACUCUGCUUUUGCUUAUUUUUCUUACUAAUGUACAAUGAGUUGUGAAGUUUAGGUAUUCUCUUUCACAAGCACGAUGUGUGUUUUCGUACUUUAUAAGCUGUAUUUCAAACUUUAAUACAUAAAAGACUAUUAUGUUUGCUAUGGUCUUUUCUUUUGUUGAUGAUAAGUGAAUGAAAAAAAAACAGAGGGUAAUUAACUUGGUU